rnacentral:rRNA from 1 species
CCUACGGGUGGCUGCAGUGAGGAAUAUUGGUCAAUGGGCGCGAGCCUGAACCAGCCAAGUCGCGUGAGGGAAGACGGCCCUAUGGAUUGUAAACCUCUUUUGUCGGGGAGCAAAAGACGCCACGCGUGGCGUUCCGAGAGUACCCGAAGAAAAAGCAUCGGCUAACCAUGUGCCAGCAGCCGCGGUAAUACGGAGGAUGCGAGCGUUAUCCGGAUUUAUUGGGUUUAAGGGGUGCGCAGGCGGAGGAGCAAGUCAGCGGUAAAAUUGAGGGGCUCAACCUCUGCGAGCCGUUGAAACUGGUUUUCUUGAGUGAGGGAGAGGUAUGCGGAAUGCGUUGUGUAGCGGUGAAAUGCAUAGAUAUCACGCAGAACUCCGAUUGCGAAGGCAGCAUACCGGCGCUCAACUGACGCUCAUGCACGAAAGUGUGGGUAUCGAACAGGAUUAGAUACCCCUGUAGUC